rnacentral:rRNA from 14 species
AUAUAUGGUCAUACCAUCCUGAAUAUGCCUGAUCUUGUCAUUUCAGAAGUUAAACAGGAUCAAACCUGGUUAGUUGGAGGUUGGAUGGGAGACAGUCUGGUAAUAAGGGAGCUCUGUAGG